GAUGAACGCUGGCGGCGUGCCUAAUACAUGCAAGUCGAGCGAACGGACGAGAAGCUUGCUUCUCUGAUGUUAGCGGCGGACGGGUGAGUAACACGUGGAUAACCUACCUAUAAGACUGGGAUAACUUCGGGAAACCGGAGCUAAUACCGGAUAAUAUUUUGAACCGCAUGGUUCAAAAGUGAAAGACGGUCUUGCUGUCACUUAUAGAUGGAUCCGCGCUGCAUUAGCUAGUUGGUAAGGUAACGGCUUACCAAGGCAACGAUGCAUAGCCGACCUGAGAGGGUGAUCGGCCACACUGGAACUGAGACACGGUCCAGACUCCUACGGGAGGCAGCAGUAGGGAAUCUUCCGCAAUGGGCGAAAGCCUGACGGAGCAACGCCGCGUGAGUGAUGAAGGUCUUCGGAUCGUAAAACUCUGUUAUUAGGGAAGAACAUAUGUGUAAGUAACUGUGCACAUCUUGACGGUACCUAAUCAGAAAGCCACGGCUAACUACGUGCCAGCAGCCGCGGUAAUACGUAGGUGGCAAGCGUUAUCCGGAAUUAUUGGGCGUAAAGCGCGCGUAGGCGGUUUUUUAAGUCUGAUGUGAAAGCCCACGGCUCAACCGUGGAGGGUCAUUGGAAACUGGAAAACUUGAGUGCAGAAGAGGAAAGUGGAAUUCCAUGUGUAGCGGUGAAAUGCGCAGAGGUAUGGAGGAACACCAGUGGCGAAGGCGACUUUCUGGUCUGUAACUGACGCUGAUGUGCGAAAGCGUGGGGAUCAAACAGGAUUAGAUACCCUGGUAGUCCACGCCGUAAACGAUGAGUGCUAAGUGUUAGGGGGUUUCCGCCCCUUAGUGCUGCAGCUAACGCAUUAAGCACUCCGCCUGGGGAGUACGACCGCAAGGUUGAAACUCAAAGGAAUUGACGGGGACCCGCACAAGCGGUGGAGCAUGUGGUUUAAUUCGAAGCAACGCGAAGAACCUUACCAAAUCUUGACAUCCUUUGACAACUCUAGAGAUAGAGCCUUCCCCUUCGGGGGACAAAGUGACAGGUGGUGCAUGGUUGUCGUCAGCUCGUGUCGUGAGAUGUAGGGUUAAGUCCCGCAACGAGCGCAACCCUUAAGCUUAGUUGCCAUCAUUAAGUUGGGCACUCUAAGUUGACUGCCGGUGACAAACCGGAGGAAGGUGGGGAUGACGUCAAAUCAUCAUGCCCCUUAUGAUUUGGGCUACACACGUGCUACAAUGGACAAUACAAAGGGCAGCGAAACCGCGAGGUCAAGCAAAUCCCAUAAAGUUGUUCUCAGUUCGGAUUGUAGUCUGCAACUCGACUACAUGAAGCUGGAAUCGCUAGUAAUCGUAGAUCAGCAUGCUACGGUGAAUAAGUUCCCGGGUCU
rnacentral:rRNA from 1 species